UCAAAAGUUUGAGCCCAGCUUGGGCAACUUAAUGAUUUAGGGAGACUGUCUUAAAAUAAAAAUGGGACUCAGUACGAAGGCCCUGGGUUCAGUCUCCGGCACUAUAAAUAAUUGAAAAAGCGAGUGAAGCUACAACAUUUUAUGUUUCCCUUGGUUAUAGUGUUCUCUUUUCUAUUUGUGGUCUGUAUUAGCUCCUGUCCCCAUCUGUGUCCCAUAAAUGUAGUCUUUCAGAUACCUGAAUGUGAAAAGACUUUGAACAAAUUUUAUUGAUUACAUUUUGGUGGAUGGGGACUUUCACCUACUCCUCAUUUAGCCCAACCUUAGCCCGUCAAAUCUUUUGAAACCUGUCCCAUCUCCUUUCUUUCCUGAUUGAUUUAAGGGUGUGAUUCUAAGGCAUAAAUGUUCUUUAUCUCUCUUUAUCUUUCUAAACUGUAUAGCUAUGGAGACUCCUAAUCACCAUUCAGCUUAUCCAUAUGUUUUAUUCUCAGUUCUUGGUUUCUUUUUUGGGAGGAGGGGGGUGCUAGGGAUUGAACUCUGGUCCUUGUGCUUGCGAGGCAGGUGGUGGAAGCACUGAGCUAAAUCCCCGGCCCAGUUCUUGGUUUCUACUUUUUCAAAUUAUCCUCAAGAGAUGUGAUUUGAAAUUGAUGUAUUUUAGAAAUGUUCAAAAGUAACUCUGAAUAUAGACUUUGUUAUGAAGAUUGACAGAUGAGAUUACACUAAAAUAUUUUUAAUGGAAUAUAUAGAAUUUUCUGAUUUAAAUAAAUGCUUUUCACUAAAAAACUAACAUAAAAGUCAAAGUUUCUCAGUAAUAGAAACACUAGGUAAUGUGCCAUUUUAUUAACUCUUUAUUGUAGCUUCUGCAGGAGCCUGUGAUGUUGUAGCACCAUCAGCAGGAACAGUUGCAAGUUCCAGGGCUGUCCUUUUCACUGUGGGGUCUCCUCCACACAGUGCCAUGGCCCCUAUUUGUACUCAUAUGGUCCUUUGAACAAGAACCACCUCAGAUACAGAAGUUGAAGCUCACAGAGGAUUGGUGAUGUAUCGAAGACAACAGGGCUAAAGAAGAGCCAGCAUUCAUGACAAUAAGGACCAAGCUCCUCCUAACUGCUCUGUUCCAGUGGCUGCCAAAAUACCAUCUUGC
rnacentral:lncRNA from 1 species